rnacentral:rRNA from 1 species
CCUACGGGGGGCAGCAGUGGGGAAUAUUGCACAAUGGGGGAAACCCUGAUGCAGCGACGCCGCGUGAGUGAGGAAGUAUUUCGGUAUGUAAAGCUCUAUCAGCAGGGAAGAAAAUGACGGUACCUGACUAAGAAGCCCCGGCUAACUACGUGCCAGCAGCCGCGGUAAUACGUAGGGGGCAAGCGUGAUCCGGAUUUACUGGGUGUAAAGGGAGCGUAGACGGCUAAUCAAGUCAGAAGUGAAAACCCAGGGCUCAACCUGGGGACUGCUUUUGAAACUGAGUAGCUAGAGGGCAGGAGAGGUAAGCGGAAGGCCUAGUGGAGCGGGGAAAUGCGUAGAUAUUAGGAGGAACACCAGUGGCGAAGGCGGCUGACUGGACUGUAACUGACGUGGAGGCUCGAAAGCGUGGGGAGCAAACAGGAGUAGAGACCCUAGUAGUC